rnacentral:rRNA from 1 species
UACGUAGGUCCCGAGCGUUGUCCGGAUUUAUUGGGUGUAAAGGGCGUGCAGCCGGAGAGACAAGUCAGAUGUGAAAUCCACGGGCUCAACCCGUGAACUGCAUUUGAAACUGUUUCCCUUGAGUGUCGGAGAGGUAAUCGGAAUUCCUUGUGUAGCGGUGAAAUGCGUAGAUAUAAGGAAGAACACCAGUGGCGAAGGCGGAUUACUGGACGAUAACUGACGGUGAGGCGCGAAAGCGUGGGGAGCAAACAGG